rnacentral:tRNA from 1 species
UCCAGUGUGGUCCAGUGGCUAGGAUACGCGGCUCUCACCCGCGAGACCCGGGUUCGAUUCCUGGCACGGGAC